AGUUAUAUAUAUAACUAGAAACUAUAAUACAUUACUAUAAUAUAUAACUAGAAAAACCAAAUGAGUGUAUUUCCGGGCGGGGUUAAAGUGUGAUUGUCAGGUCUUCGCUCCAAUCAGCGCUCGUUACCCGUUAGCUCAUGGUAGCAUUAGCUAAAAAUGGCGUAGAGCGGAUCGUCCACAGAGAAGAGGACAAGAGGACCUUCUCUCCUCCUCGGUGUCCACCGGGGGGAGAGAAGGGGCUCCCUAACUUUUGGCUGAAUCCCUUCUGGAUGAGUCUUCGUCGACGCUUUUCCUGAAAUAAAAGGCAGAGGAGUUUUCCGGCUUGAGCAGAUCAAAGGUUUGUGUCACCGCAGAGGAUGAGAGGAAGAUCCCCCGGCUUUUGUUUUCCGCUGCGAGCAGCUGCAGCCCCGAGGAAACGUCUCCGUAUCACUUCAGACCCUCUCACAACAGGCUCAGACCAGGACAUGUGGCGCCCAUCAUUGCUGAAACUGCAGCACCAACAUAAGUCCACCUCCUCCAACACCUGCAAACAGAAGACCGAUGUUCUCCAGAUGAUCUCAUUUGUGGCUUUUCCUUUCUGCUGUUUUCUGGGAUGCUGGCUAUCUCAUCUCCACGGCACCCCCUUCCUCUGCUGGCCUGUUUCUGCAGCCUAAUUAUCAGUGAGGACAGCUGCCAAGCUACUGGGUUGUCUAUGGCUAGUGAACUAGACCAAACUCUUGCUUUGCAAAGUUAAAUAAUAUAUUUAUUAGUCUGGCUUGCCAGGCUAGUGGUGUCUACCACUAAGAUGCAUAGUCUGGAUGUGUUCCACACACACUCCUGUAGCUCCAGUUCUGUAGCUGAUGAGUUGGGAGAUUCUGCAUGGCUAAACUUGCCCUGAAUUCUCUGGGGUGAUAGCUGGAUGAGAUUCCUGCAUGUGGCUGCUUGUACUUCCCAAAAAUAGCAAGAAAAAAAUCUUUGCACUAAAUGCAAUUAAAAUAAAAGAAGUUUGAUUUUUUUUUUAAUUCUCCCAUUUUCUGUAAAGACACAACAUACUGUAGCAAAGAUCAAGGACUGUGAUUUAACAUGGAUUCGUUGUUUUGGGUUGUUUUUCGCCCCACUACCUCAUUGCCUCAGCAAGUCCAAUAGAAGGGAAAAUGGGAGCGAUACGAACAAGUAGCAUAAGGGUUGUUGAGCACCACAGUCGUCAUCUAAACUGUCCCAAAGUGAUUUUGGAAUCAAUAUCGGAUAGAAAAAUGGCGGGUUAAUAGAAAAUAUGCAUAAUGACACUUUUCAGUUCAGCUUUUCUUUAUAACUCAACUAGCUUCUUGUGCAUCAUAGUUUUUUUUUUUCAUUCAUUUGUCUCAGACUCACUAUGAUUUCAUUGGUCAGUUCUAAAAGUUGCAACAAAAAAGACAAAAUUAGUAUUUCCAUGACUAAAAUGGGACUUUUUGUGUCUUCACUCCUAUUGUGUUCCAGUUUUCCUUCAUUUUGACUCAGUUUUGUAAUGAAUUAAUUUGUGUUUCUAAACAAUUGGCCUAUUUUCCUUUGUGCCAUAAGUCAUGUAAUGUUCAAAAAGAUCACUACCGGGAUCUGUGCAAUAUCUGAUCUUAACUGUCAUGUUGUUGACCAAACUGUAUAUUGUAUAAACAAGUGACAAGUUGUUUGAAAGCAACAAAAUCACCAAUGUCUUCCAUUAAGAUAUGUAUAGACUCAUGUGCGUUAGCUUAUUUAGCAGGAAUGUGGUGCCAACAUUAUCGUAGCCGUGCAUGACCAGUAGUGAUGCUUGCUUCAUCAAAGAUGUUUGGUUUUCCUAGGCUAAGCUGGGAGUUUGUAUCCUUUUUAGAAAAGAAACGAACGCUAGAUUGAAGUUCUGUACCCUUAGAUACAGCUAAAUCUAGCGAGUGAUCAUUUCACAGCAUGUUUAGGCCAGGCAGUGACAAAAUCAGGGUAUAAAAUUAGGUUGUACUGUUUUAAACGUAUAUGUUAUACUUAAGAACAAUAGCUACGAGCUUUCUGAUAGCUGCUUAAAAGAAAAUGAACACAACAGCUCAAAUUUCUAGAGCGUGAAUCUGAUUGGAUGGGAUCUGUUGUGUUGUAGGCCUAUAAUUAAAAUAUAAUGUACAUAUUGACCUCAUUGUUUUUGGAUUCAGAGUGUUCUAUUUUAAUCCAUACAAUUGUAUUUGGAUAUAGUUUUAGAAGCAAUAACCUAUAAUAAUGUGUAGCAGAAUAUAGUUGAAACGGAAAGCCCCUUUUCAUUGUUUUUUAUUGUUUUAUUUUUAGCCAUCUUUAGCUUUAAAUACUUCCUCUCAACUAACCGGAACUCUAAAAAGGCUUAAGUAUCGAAUCUCAGUAGCAUUUCUAAAGCUCCAAAUAAAUAACAGCAGCCUUUCAAGUAACCCUGUGGCCGAGAAGAACUCUCAGAACAACCCUGGCGUGAAAAGCACUUUCUAUGUAUUGACUUGCACCGUCAUUGUUGCCAUCAUGUCUUCAAUGCUGUGUUCUAGAAACCAUGUAAUGCCAUUUCUGGUCAUUUAUAAUCCGACUUUUUAAGCAAGUAGACGUCCAGGUGACAUGUGGGUUUAAAAAAUAUGCAUGAAUUAGCAGAAAAUUUAUGAAAUGUAUUGCAUGCAAUAAUCCAACUUUGUAAUGUGAAUGAGUGUAAUUAGGAUAUGGAGGUGUUUGUUCAGCAGCUGCGCUGAUGUAGCUGCUAGUCAUAAGAACAGCCGUGUCUGCUUCAGUGCAGCUGAGAAACGCAACAGUCGUUGUUCCCUUGUGAAAAGUAGCAACAAAGCUAAAGUGAGACUAAUAAAACGACAACUUUUUCCACAGAAAUGGUGGACUGUGUAGGAACUAUGCACUCCAGAGGGAGGAAAUGGGCAUGAUUAUUAUGUGUGAGCCUCUUAUCUGGUUUUGUAAUUAUUAAAGAAAAAAAUCGAGUAUCAGAAAUUCAGCAAUAAAAUGCAGCAUGGUGCCAAUUGGAA